rnacentral:rRNA from 1 species
GUGCCAGCAGCUGCGGUAAUACGUAGGGUCCGAGCGUUGUCCGGAAUUAUUGGGCGUAAAGGGCUCGUAGGCGGUUUGUCGCGUCGGGAGUGAAAACUUGGGGCUUAACCCCAUUCGUGCUUCCGAUACGGGCAGACUAGAGGCAGGCAGGGGAGAACGGAAUUCCUGGUGUAGCGGUGGAAUGCGCAGAUAUCAGGAGGAACACCGGUGGCGAAGGCGGUUCUCGUGGGCCUGUUCUGACGCUGAGGAGCGAAAGC